rnacentral:rRNA from 1 species
CACGUAGGGUGCGAGCGUUUGUCCGGAAUUAUUGGGCGUAAAGAGCUCGUAGGCGGUGUGUCGCGUCGGCCGUGAAAACCUGCAGCUUAACUGUGGGCGUGCGGUCGAUACGGGCAUCACUGGAGUUCGGCAGGGGAGACUGGAAUUCCUGGUGUAGCGGUGAAAUGCGCAGAUAUCAGGAGGAACACCGGUGGCGAAGGCGGGUCUCUGGGCCGAUACUGACGCUGAGGAGCGAAAGCGUGGGGAGCGAACAGG